UUUGCAAGGAAGUGUGCGAGUAGUGAGAAAUUUUAAAUCAGUGAGCAAAAUUUCUCAUAUGUACUCACUGUAAGUGUUCACUACAUCUUUAACUGUUCAUAGAAAGGUGGUUAGAUCUGGCAUAAAUAGUAUUCAUUGCAAGAUUACAUGAAGUACUAAUAUUCCAAUAUGCCACAUUUCUUGCUUAAUGGUGCCCACUAAUAGGAAAUAAAGAGUAAUGUAUGUAGUAUUACUUGGUAGUGGUUUACUCUGCUUUUCCAGGAAAAUAGUGUUAUCUAUGUAUGUAUGUAUGUAUGUAUGUAUUACUUGGUAGUGGUUUACUCUGCUUUUCCAGGUUGCAAAAAGGCAAUACUUGUCUGUGCUACUUGCAGUUUACUCCGCUCAUUCUACGGGUACUAAUAGGACCCAUUAGUACAUUCAGGUUGGAUGGCAAGAGGACUAGAGGAUGCCUCAGGCGAGGGUGUCCAGCAAGCACUGUUAAAGAUAUUCGAAGGAACUGUAAUUGCCCAUGCUGUUUAGAAGAGUGGGAGUUUUACAGUGUGCAGACGUGACUAAUCUGACAUAUUUUUCUGCUUCAUAGAUUCUGAACUCGCAUGUAUCAUAUUAUGUCUGUUUGUUUCUAAACAAGAACAAUUUCACAUUUGCAUUGUUAGGUGAUCAGUGUGCCAAGAAAAAGAAGUCGAGAUAUCAUAUCCCAUGGUUAAUGUCGAGAUGCGCCUUCUCUGACGUGGGGAAGAUUUAUGUCAGAAACUUGCAUAGACAGAUCAUUGAUGGGUGCAUAUUAUUAUUGUACACACAAGCAACCUUAGUUGAAUAGUUCAUUGAUGGGUGGGGAGGGCAGGUCUGCAAGGUGUUGGGAAACCCUUUUCUUGAUGUGAACAAUAUGGUAUGGUAUUGUUCUUAAUUGUCAAUCAAUCCAGGAUUCAACCUUGUUUGCAAAUUCAAGUGUUUGGUUUGAACGAUGACACAAAUCCCAUGCAAGGAACAUGUUAAUAUAGUUUUGUGCAACAUAUAUUUUUCAUCAUAGCAAUGGAAAACUGACUCGUGUGCAAGUGCCCUUCUAAUUGGUGCUCUAUGUAUGUUCUCAUUUGGUUCAGGUUGAUUUUUGUGUAUUCCAAGUUCUACAACUAUCAAGUCCGUUAGAUUUUGGGGGUCUGUAAAUUUAUUUUGUUGCCCACUUGAUGAUUAUUUGAAACCUUUUGGUUGCCUAGUGUGGAUGAGAGAAGCAUGUAUGCCUGUAA